UACGUAGGGGGCAAGCGUUGUCCGGAAUCAUUGGGCGUAAAGCGCGUGUAGGCGGCCCGGUAAGUCCGCUGUGAAAGUCGGGGGCUCAACCCUCGAAUGCCGGUGGAUACUGUCGGGCUAGAGUGCGGAAGAGGCGAGUGGAAUUCCUGGUGUAGCGGUGAAAUGCGCAGAUAUCGGAAGGAACGCCCGUGGCGAAAGCGAGGUCCUGGACCCUUUCUGACGCUGAGACGCGAAAGCCAGGGGAGCGAACGGG
rnacentral:rRNA from 1 species